rnacentral:rRNA from 1 species
GCUCGUAGUUGGAUUCCUGACCUGGGGUAGCCGGUCCGCCUUGCAAAAGGUGCGCACUGAGCGGCCUCGGUCAUCCUUGAGAAGAGCGGUCCUGGCAUUCAGUUGUCGGGGUCGGGAUUCUCGACGUUUACUGUGAAAAAAUCAGAGUGUUCAACGCAGGCUUACGCCUUGAAUACAUUAGCAUGGAAUAAUGAGAUAGGACCUUGGCGGUCUAUUUUGUUGGUUUGCACGCCGAGGUAAUGAUUAAAAGGGACGGUUGGGGUUCUUCGUAUUCAAUUGUCAGAGGUGAAAUUCUUGGAUUUAUGGAAGACGAACUGCUGCGAAAGCGUCGAACAAGGACGUUCUCAUUAAUCAAGAACGAAAGUUAGGGGAUCGAAGAUGAUUAGAUACCAUCGUAGUCUUAACCAUAAACUAUGCCGAUUCAGGAUUGGCGGUCGUUUGUUCUCGACUCCGUCAGCACUGUAUGAG